AGAUGGCGACCGGCGCACGGGUGAGUAACACGUAUCCAACCUGCCGAUAACUCGGGGAUAGCCUUUCGAAAGAAAGAUUAAUACCCGAUGGUAUAAUCAGACCGCAUGGUUUGAUUAUUAAAGAAUUUCGGUUAUCGAUGGGGAUGCGUUCCAUUGGGCAGUUGGUGAGGUAACGGCUCACCAAACCUUCGAUGGAUAGGGGUUCUGAGAGGAAGGUCCCCCACAUUGGAACUGAGACACGGUCCAA
rnacentral:rRNA from 1 species